CUACUCUUCAGGAUCACCUAAAGGCGGAGAAACGGGAUCAUAAGGGAUUAUGGUUCUCUGCUGCCAUUCCUGCCUUGAAAGGAAGAGCAGAGUGGGCUUUCCAACUGCUUCGGUAAACAGAUACAGAGCAGCCCUCACCUCCUUCUCUGCUUCACAUUUUGAUGACCGGAGAGCCCACAGCCAAAUCGCCAUCCAAGAUACACAAUCAUCCCCAUCGUAAAUACGUUUGCUCCCUGUCAAGGGCUCACCCCCUGACACCAAUAGGCUUAUGAGUGUUUGAAGAGGAUUCCAGGAAAGAAACCAACUGUCUUGAGUGGCUAGAACCCAAUUAAUCAGUCAGAGACUCUCCCUGAAUAAGAAGAUUGCUGAGGGCUGUGAAAUGUCCUGUGAAAUCUGAGGAAGCCACCGCGGCCUAAGUCAUAUCACUGCAUCUGGAGCCUAAGAACAAAUCUCAUCAUAUGAAACUCACUUCCUUCUCCCCCAUGAUGGAAGCUCCUUGAGGGCAUUUUUUGCCUUUGCAUGCCCAGUGGCUGGUGUUAUGUGCAGAGGCUAGCCCUGUGCCUGGCACACAGUAGAUACGCAAUGUAUAUAUACUGGUUGAUGUAGCACCUGCAUAGAACCUAACCUCUCUGAGAGCAGCGACUCUUUUUCAUUUUUGUCUUUAUAUCUCCAACUGUCUAGCACAA